AAUUUUCCGUUUGAAGGGCCCUGGAGGUUGUAUAAUUCAGUUCAAUGAGCAGGUCCUUCCUGUGUCAUUUCCACAAGUGCUCAUCCAGCCUCAACCUGGCCGGCUCGAGUCCUGGGAAGCUCACCACCUCCGGAGCUGCUUCUGCCACUGCGGACCAAGAAAAUCAUCUGUGAAAAAACUAAGGCUGAACAGGAGAUGAUGAGGUGAAGAGGUUGGAAGCAGACUAUGUCUGAAGAGAAGAGCUUGUGCAAAGGUGCUAUGGAAAGUGGAUCAGGACAAGUUCAAGGAUCAGAAAGAAGGAACUCUGUCUAGAAUGCAUAACUGAUAGCAGUCCACCCUCUGACCCACAGCACAUGUGCAAGCUUGUGCGGAAGAUUUCUUCCCAGGUCUGGAAGCCAGAAGUCCAAAGUCAAGGUGCCAGAAGGAUUGUUUUUUCCUGAGACUUUUCUCCUUUGCUUCUGAAUUUUGUCUUCUCCCUGGGUUCUCACAUGGUCUUUCUCUGUGCCUGUAUCCUAAUCUCCAUUUCCCAUAAGGACAUCAGUCAGCUGAAUUAGAGCCCCCUCAAAUGACCUCAUCUUACCAUUCUGCCACUUCAAGAUUCUAUCUCCAAUAAAGUCACAGUUUGAGGAAAAACAACUCCUUCAUUGUUUCAGGGUAACUUCACAUCAAUCACAUUGAUUUACAAAGGUGGAAUGAGCUGCCUAUUUACCCAACUAUGGAACGAAACAGGAAAACAUGCAUUAAUACUAAAAGAGAGAAAAAAGAAAGAAAGAAAGAAAGAAAGAAAGAAAGAAAGAAAGAAAGAAAGAAAACAAAAAAGAAAGAUGAAGAAUAAAAUGAGACAAAUGAAAAAUAUGGAGAGAAAAAGGACAGCUACAGAGUUCUGGAUUCUUCCCGAGCUGGUUGCUGAUUUCAUGUUGCCUCAUAGUGUUACUGUGAACUUUCGGUGCCACUAGUCUUCCUGUGCAUUGUAGCUGGUGUUCUUUCUGGUCUCUGGGCCUUCCCAAGCAGUUCACCUCAGUCCUGGCCAUAGACAGAGGUGGGACCUCUCUCCUCUGGCAUUGUCGACCUGGGUUACCUCAGUGCAAAGAGACAAUAAGAGGACUCUAGUGGGAUUUUUCAUUUAUGCAGAUGUGAUGUGUAUGACAAAAACAACACAAAAAUGAAAGGCAAAAAAUCCACAUUGUGAUAUAUAUAUAUUUAAAUUUUAUGUUGAAGGUAGAAAAAUACAAUAGAACAAGGCAGAACAAAGUCAAUCGAGACAAUGCAGUAAAACUGGUACAGAACCCACAUCAGGAUACCUGGAUAACAGUAAUAGGUGCCAUAGUAUAUCUUGUUACCUUCACAAGAGUUGUCCAUUCAAUUAGGAACAGCCAAAUCAAAUGAAAACCAGAACAUUAUAAAACAAAUCAAAAAAGAAUAUUGAAUAGAGCAAAACAAUUAAUCAGAACAAAGCAAAAUAGUGAAAACAAUGUUUGCUUUCAAACAGGAGAUAGGAGGCAGUCCCUCAUAUUCGCUGUAUUGCACACGGUCAUCCUCCCAAGACAUACUCAGACCUCUGGCCCCAUUUGUUUACGUGGGCAGGGAGGAAGGGAUGGGAUGUUUGAUUCUCAGCUGGUAGACUCACCAGAGAGGCUGACUGUUCUCUUGCUGGCUCGCACCAGGAGUGCUUACCAGGAAGGAAGGCAAAUUGCUGUCUCACUCAGCUGCCUGUUUCACCAUGACUGGAUCUUGGGGGACUGGUUGUCCUCCUGGCUCAAGGAAUGGAGGCAAAUUGCUUCCUUGCUCUGCUGCCUAAGCUCCAUCAUCGCUGGAGAUCAGGAGAUGCUGACUGGUUCUCUUUCUGGCUCACGCCUCUUACCAGAAGGGCGGCGAACUGCUUUCUUGCCUAGCUGCCUAAGUUCCACUAUGGCUGGAUCUUUGUGAUAUAUUUUAUAUUCCACUUGAAGUAGUGAAAUGCUAAGUUUGAAUAGACUUUGAAUGUGGAAUAUUUUUACAGCACCCACUAUAAAAAUGCUGUAUAAAAAGAUAUAGUGAAUUCCACAAUAUAUAAACUAAGGUUGGAUACUGAAUAGGUUCAGAUAGCACAAAAGAAAGCAGGCAAGAGGAAAUCAAGGAUCAAAAACAAAAGAAAGAGAACAAACCGAUAGCGAAUAAGAGAAUGUACACUUCUGAAUAUGUCAAUAACUAUAAAUGCACUACUUUUCAAAUUUAUAAGAAUGUAUUAAAUACCAUGAUCCAGUGACAUGUUACUUUUGAAAAACUGUCAUCAAAUUUAAUGAUACAGGCAGGUUAAAAUUACAAGGAAGAAAAAACAUAUGUUCAAUAUAAACAGAAAAAGAAAUACUGGUAGCUAUAAUAAUAGAAAAUAAGUCAGUUCAAAGCAAGGAAAAUCACAUAGAAUAAAGAGAAAUAUUACAUGAUAAAGAUUAAUUCACCAGAAAUAUUAAAUAUGUAUUCACCUAGCAGCAGAGCUUCAAAAUACAUAAGCAAAAGCUAAAGUAAAGAUAAAUAGACAAAUACUUCACCAUAGUUCUCUGAUCAUAAAUAGAACUUGUAGUAGAUCAAUAAGGCUUUAGAAAAUCCAGACAAUAAUACCAUAAGAACCUGGAUCCACCUGAUAUUUGGAGAACAGUUUGACUAUGAUAACAGAACACAGUUCUCAAAUGCAUGUGCAGUGUUCACCAUGAGAAAACUAUCCUGACUCAUAAAAUAAACCUGAACACAAAAAGCUUGAAAAUGGUCGAAGUAUGCUGUCUCAUGAUAACAUAAUUGGCUAAAAAUCAGUAAAUGGAAGAUAACAAAAAAACUCUGACACUUGGAAAUUUAAAUACUCUUGCAUUACCCAAUAAUUAAAAAAUAAAUCUCAAAGAACUUUAGGAAAUAUUUAAAACUGAAUGAAAAUAAAAUAUGACACACCAACAUUUAUGAAAUGAAAAUAUAGCCAUGUCUAUAGCAAAUUUUGUAGCAACUAAUAUUUACAUUAAAAAAGCAAGAAGGGUCACAAAUCAAUAUUCAAAGCUUGCACUUUAAUAUAUAAAUAGUAAGCCAUAAAAGUGCCACACAGGUAGAAUAAUAUUAUUAUAGUUGCUUUAACAAAGAAAUGUUUAUGAGUAAUUAUUCAUGAACUUGGUAACAGACAAGCAAUAUGGAAAAUCACUGAUAUCAAAAGACACAGGUGCUUUUAAAAAGAGCAAACAUUUGAUGAAUCUCUAGCAAGACUGAUAAACAAAAUUUUGAGAAGACACAAAUUACCAAUAUUAGGAAAGAAUAAAGGAAUAGCCUUCAGAUAUUUAGAAGCCCCACAAAUAAUGCAAUAAGUAUAUUUUCAAGCUGAACAUGGACCUAUUUCUUUAAAAAAGUACCAAAUUCACCAAGAUGAAGUAGGUAUCUGAAAAGACCUGAAACUAUAAAAUAAAUGAAAUCCAUGGUUUUUUUAGUUGGUAGGUAGUGAUUAUACAUCUUUAUCAGAUACAGUGUGAUGUUUCUACACAUUUAUGUGUUAUGUAAUGGUCACAAUACUUGGAUUUUCCAGUAUGUCAAAAUAUUUGUUAUUUAUUUGUAAUUGGAGCAUUUAAAAUCUUCCUUUCUAGUUAUUUUAAAUUCUGUAAUACAGCAUUGCUAAUUACAAUCAUCCUCUGUAUAAUACAACACCAGAGCAUGGUCCUUUCAUCUUGCUGUAAUACAAUUAAUCUUUCCCUAUCCUCCUUCUCACUUUCUCUCCAGCCUCUGGCAACCUCUAGUUUGCUUUUCAGUUCUUUGAGCUCAACUACUUUUAGAUUCCAUAUAUGAGGGAUGAUUGAAAAAUAUGGUGUGUGGGCUGGGGAUGCAGCUCAGCAGCACACUACCUGCCUGGCAAGUAUGAGGCCCUGAGUUCAAAUCCCAGGGAAAAAAAUGUUUGUAUAAAUUUAAAAUAAUUUGUUAGUCUAAGAGGCAUAUUGCCAUAAAUCUUCCUCAAAGUAGCUCCCCUCACUUUGAACACAAUUAUUCCAUCAUUCUUGCUACUUUCUGAAGCAGUUCCAGAAGCUUCUUUCAUGAAUGUCUUCAAUUGUGCUAUCAUGGCUGUCUUGAUGUCCUGAAUCUGUUACAUAUGUUUACCUUUUUGAUCAUUUUGACUUUGGAAAGGAGCCGAGAGUUGUGUGGUGUCAGAUCUGGUGAACAAGGUGGAUGAGAACACAUAAUCAUGUUAUGAGCCUCCUUUCUGUUGGCUGGCACUUGUCAGCAGAAUUCAUCAAGCUUUUGAUCACACUUUGUAAAGACACUAAAGACUUCCAAAACCGCUUCAGAAAGUGGCACGGCUAAUGGGAUAAGUGUGUGUGUGAAGUGAGGGGGAGUAUUUUGAAGGGAUUUAUUGGCAAUGUGUCUUUUAAUACAACAAUUUUUUUAAAAGAAUGGAAACACUCACCACAUUUGUAUAAGUGAGAUAAUGGGAUGUUGCUCUUUCUCUGCCUAACUCACUUCACUUAACAUGAACUCCAGGGCCAGCCAUGUGGCUGCAAAGGACAGGAUUUCAUUCUUUUAAUGGAUGAAUAGUAUUUCUUCAUGUGCAUUUGCUAUGUUUUUUUAAUCUACUCAUCCACAGAUGGAUACCUUGGAUGAUCGUAUGUCUUGGCUAUUGUGAAUAUUACUGCUGUAAAAAUGAGGAUACUGACAC